CCAGACUCCUACGGGAGGCAGCAGUGAGGAAUAUUGGACAAUGGUCGGAAGACUGAUCCAGCCAUGCCGCGUGCAGGAUGACGGCCUUAUGGGUUGUAAACUGCUUUUGUAAGGGAAGAAUAAGGGCUACGCGUAGUUUGAUGACGGUACCUUAUGAAUAAGCAUCGGCUAACUCCGUGCCAGCAGCCGCGGUAAUACGGAGGAUGCGAGCGUUAUCCGGAAUCAUUGGGUUUAAAGGGUCUGUAGGCGGGCUGGUAAGUCAGAGGUGAAAGCGCUCAGCUCAACUGAGCAACUGCCUUUGAAACUGUUGGUCUUGAAUGGUUGUGAAGUAGUUGGAAUGUGUAGUGUAGCGGUGAAAUGCUUAGAUAUUACACAGAACACCGAUAGCGAAGGCAUAUUACUAACAAUUAAUUGACGCUGAUGGACGAAAGCGUGGGGAGCGAACAGGAUUAGAUACCCUGGUAGUCCACGCUGUAAACGAUGGAUACUAGCUGUUUGGUUUAAGGAUUGAGUGGCUAAGCGAAAGUGAUAAGUAUCCCACCUGGGGAGUACGUUCGCAAGAAUGAAACUCAAAGGAAUUGACGGGGGCCCGCACAAG
rnacentral:rRNA from 1 species